UAGGGGUGAUAGGCCAGUCAAAAGGUGUGAUAACUUGAUUUUUAAGGAAAUACUUUUAGGGUAUUAGACAGAUGGUGAAUGACAAGGUUUAACAUUUAUAUAAGUUUUGUAUUAUUAUUUUGUUUAUUUUUUAAUUACUUAAAUCUAUUCAACUGUAACAUUAAUAUUAUAUUGACUAUAUUAUUUACUUAGACACUUGCAUAAUAAUGUCGAGUAUACAAUGUUAAUAUUAGUAAAAAUAAAAAUUUGUAAUAGGAACUCGGCAAACUUGCUGGUCAACUGUUUAACAAAAACAUAACCGUAUGGUAUUAUAUUCGGCUAUUUCUGCUCAAUGAUGUUAAAUAGCCGCAGUACCCUGACUGUGCAAAGGUAGCAUAAUCAUUUGGCUUUUAAUUGAAGUCUGGCAUGAAUGAAUCUAUGGCUGGCGGCUGUCUUUUACAAGCGUAGUGAAUUUUCUUAAUAAGUGUAAAUACUUAUAUAAAUAUAAUAGACGAGAAGACCCUUGAAAUUUUUACAAAUUGUGUGAUACACUGCACGUUUUUGUUGGGGCGACAAAAUAACAUAAAACUUAUUGUUGUAGAUUUGAACUAAAUGGUGUGUAAAAAUAAAUUACUCUAGGGAUAACAGCAUAAUUUUAAUUAGUUUGUGACCUCGAUGUUGGAUUAGGGACAAAGUUAUUCAGAAGAUAACAUUGCACGUUCUGUUCGAAC
rnacentral:rRNA from 1 species